CUCUUAUCAAGAGCAGGUGGAGGGAUUUGGCCCGAUGAAACCCAGCAACCGACCGUAAUACUGUUGUGAGACAGGGCGUUACACAUGUGUGGACGCCGAACGAAAAUGUUCUUAAGGCACGGUGCUAAUUCCAGCAGAAAUUAUUUCUGGCAGAUAAGAG
rfam:Bacillus sp. CHD6a contig19, whole genome shotgun sequence.